GACGAACGCUGGCGGCGCGCUUAACACAUGCAAGUCGAGCGAGAACCGGGGCUUCGGCCCUGGGGACAGCGGCGAACGGGUGAGUAACACGUGGGUAAUCUGCCCUCGGCAUCGGGAUAGCCCGGGGAAACCCGGAUUAAUACCGAAUAGCCUCCGGAGCCUUCGGGCGCCGGAGAAAAGGUAGCUUCGGCCUCUGGCCGAGGAUGAGCCCGCGGCGGAUUAGCUUGUUGGCGGGGUAACGGCCCACCAAGGCGACGAUCCGUAGCUGGUCUGAGAGGACGCUCAGCCACACUGGGACUGAGACACGGCCCAGACUCCUACGGGAGGCAGCAGUGGGGAAUCUUGCGCUAAUGCGGGAAACCGUGACGCAGCGACGCCGCGUGGGGGAAGAAGGCCUUCGGGUUGUAAACCUCUUUCAGGAGGGACGAAGCUACUCGGGUGAAUAGCCCAGAGGGUGACGGUACCUCCAGAAGAAGCCCCGGCUAACUACGUGCCAGCAGCCGCAGUAAUAC
rnacentral:rRNA from 1 species